rnacentral:rRNA from 1 species
AAACGCCCGUUCCCAUUCCGAACACGGAAGCUAAGCCCUCCAGCGCCGAUGGUACUGCCCUGGCAACGGGGUGGGAGAGUAGGUCAUUGCCAGAG